UGUCUCACUCUUCUCCCUUUCUACCCUUGCUUCUUUCCUAUCUAUCUAGCUAGCUAGCUAGCUAGCUAUCUUUCUUUCUAGCUAUCUAUCUUUCUUUCUUUUUUCUUUCUUUCUUUUAACAUUAUUUUAUUUGGUCAUUUACAAACAUUAUUCAUUGGAGACAAAGACCAUUUUCUUUUCUCCCCCCCCACCUCUCCCCCAGCCAACACACCAUUCCACUGGGUAUCACAUGUGUUCUUGAUUCAAACCCAUUUCCAUGUUGUUGGUAUUUGCAUUAGAGUGCUCAUUUAGAGUCUCUCCUCAGACAUGUUCCCUCAACCCCUGUAGUCAAGCAGUUGCUUUUCCUCUGUGUUUUUACUUCCACAGUUUAUCCUCUGCUUGUGGAUAGUGUUUUUUCUCCUAGAUCCCUGCAGAUUGUUCAGGGACAUUGCAUUGACACUAACAGAGAAGUCCAUUACAUUUGAUUGUACCACAGUGUAUCAGUCUCUGUGUACAAUGUUUUCCUGGCUCUGCUCAUUUCACUUUGCAUCACUUCCUGGAGGUUGUUCCAGCCUCCAUGGAAUUCCUCCACUUUAUUAUUCCUUUGAACACAAUAGUAUUCCAUCACCAACAGAUACCACAAUUUGUUCAGUCAUUCUCCAAUUGAAGGGCAUCCCCUCAUUUUCCAAUUUUGGGCCACCACAAAGAGCGUAGCUAUGAAUAUUCUUGUACAAAUCUUUUUCCUUAUUAUCUCUUUGGGGUACAAACCCAGCAGUGCUAUGGCUGGAUCAAAGGGCAGACAGUCUUUUUUCGCCCUUUGGCAUAAUUCCAGAUUGCCUUCCAGAAUGGUUGGAUCAAUUCACAAUUCCACCAACAAUGCAUUAAUGUCCAACUUUGCCACAUCCCCUCCAGCAUUCAUUACUUUCCAUUGCUGCCAUGUUAGCCAAUCUGCUAGGUGUGAGGUGAUACCUCAGAGUUGUUUUGAUUUGCAUCUCUCUGAUUAUAAGAGAUUUAGAACACUUUCAUAUGCCUAUUAAUAGUUUUGAUUUCUUUGUCUGAAAGCUGCCUAUUCAUAUCCCUUGCCCAUUUAUCAAUUGGAGAAUGGCUUGAUUUUUUGUACAAUUGACUUAGCUCUUUGUAAAUUUGAGUAACAAAACCUUUGUCAGAGGUUUUUAUUAAGAUUGUUUCUCGGGGACAGCUGGAUUGCUCAGUGGAUUGAGACCAGGCCUAGAGAUGGGAGGUCCUAGUUUCAAAUCUGGCCUCAGCCACUUCCUAGCUGUGUGACCCUGGGCAAGUCACUUGACCCCAUUGCCUAGCCCUUACCACUCUUCUGCCUUGGAGCCAAUACACAGUAUUGACUCCAAGAUAGAAGGUAAGGGUUUAAAAAAAAAAAAGAUUGUUUCCCAAUUUGUUGCUUCCCUUCUGAUUUUAGUUACAUUGGUUUUGUUUGUACAAAAGCUUUUUAAUUUGAUGUAGUAAAAAUUAUUUAUUUUACAUUUUGUGACUCUUUCUGAGUCUUGCUUGGUUUUAAAGUCUUUCUAUUCCCAAAGGCCUGACAUGUAUACUAUUCUGUGUUCACCUAAUUUACUUAUAGUUUCCUUCUUUAUAUUCAAGUCAUUCACCCAUUUUGAAUUUAUCUUGGUGUAGGGUGUGAGGUGUUGAUCCAAACCUAAUCUCUCCCACACUGCCUUCCAGUUUUCCCAGCAGUUUUUAUGGAAUAGUGGAUUUUUGUCCCCAAAGCUGGGAUCUUUGGGUUUAUCAUAUACUGUCUUGCUGAGAUCACUUGCCCCAAGUCUAUUUCACUGAUCCUCCUUUCUGUCUCUUAGCCAGUACCAAAUUGUUUUGAUGGCCACUGCUUUGUAAUAUAGUUUGAGAUCUGGGACUGCAAGGCCACCUUCCUUUGUAUUUUUUUCCCAUUAUUUCCCUGGAUAUCCUUGAUCCUUUGUUCUUCCAAAUGAACUUUGUUAUGGCUUUUUUCUAAAUCAGUAAAGAAAUUUUUUGGAAGUUCCAUGGGUAUGGCACUAAAUAGAUAAAUAAGUUUGGGUAGGAUGUUCAUUUUUAUUACAUUGGCUCGUCCUACCAAUGAUUAGUUAAUGUUUUUCCAAUUGCUCAAGUCUAGUUUUAGUUCUGUGGAGAAUGUUUUGUAGUUGUGUUCAUAUACUUCCUGUGUUUGUCUCAGGAGAUAGAUUCCUAGGUAUUUUAUUUUGUCUAAGGUGAUUUUGAAUGGGAUUUCUCUUUCUAGUUCUUGCUGCUGAGCUGUGUUGGACAUAUAUAGAAAUGCUGGUGACUUAUGCAGGUUUAUUUUGUAUCCUGCAACUUUGCUAAAGUUGUUGAUUAUUUUGAUUAGCUUUUUGGUUGAUUCUCUAGGAUUCUUUAAGUAGACCAUCAUGUCAUCUGCAAAGAGUGAUAACUUGGUCUCCUCCUUGCCUAUUUUAAUGCCUUCAAUUUCUUUUUCUUCUCUAAUUGCUACUGCUAGUGUUUUUAGUACAAUGUCAAAUAAUAGAGGUAUAAUGAGCAUCCUUAUUUCACUCCUGAUCUUAUUGGGAAUGCAUCUAGUUUAUCCCCAUUGCAGAUGAUAUUAGCUGAUGGUUUUAGAUAUAUACUGUUUAUUAUUUUUUAGGAAUGACCCUUCUAUUCCUAUACUUUCUAGUGUUUUUAAUAGGAAUGGGUUUUGUAUUUUAUCAAAGGCUUUUUCUGCAUCUAUUGAAAUAAUCAUAUGAUUUUUGUCAGUUUACUUGUUGAUAUGGUCAAUUAUGUGGAUGGUUUUCCUAAUAUUGAACCAGCCCUGAAUCCCUAGUAUAAAUCCUACUUGAUCAUGGUGAAUGACCCCUGUGAUGACUUGCUGGAGUCUUUUUGCUAGUAUCCUAUUUAAGAUUUUUGCAUCUAUAUUCAUUAGGGAUAUUGGUCUAUAAUUUUCUUUCUCUGUUUUUGACCUACCUGGUUUUGGAAUCAGUACCAUGUUUGCGUCAUAAAAGGAAUUUGGUAGAACUCCCUCUUUGCUUAUUCUGUCAAAUAGUUUGUAUAGUAUUGGGAUUAGCUGUUCUUUGAAUGUUUGAUAGAAUUCACUUGUGAAUCCAUCAGGCCCUGGGGAUUUUUAAUUAGGGAGUUCUUUGAUGGCCUGUUGGAUUUCAUUUUCUGAUACGGGAUUAUUUAAGAAUUCUAUUUCUUCUUCUGUUAGUCUAGGCAGUUUAUAUUUUUGUAUAUAUUCGUCCAUAUCACCUAGAUUGGGUAUAUUUAUUGCCAUAUAAUUGGGCAAAGUAAUUUUUAAUGAUUACCUUAAUUUCCUCUUCAUUGGAGGUGAGUUCCCCCUUUUCAUCUUUGAUGCUGUUAAUUUGCUUUUCUUCUUUCCUUUUUUUAAAUUAGAUUGACCAGUACUUUGUCUAUUUUGUUUGUAUUUUCAAAGUACCAGCUUCUAGUCUUAUUUAUUAGUUUAAUAGUUCUAUCACUUUCAAUUUUAUUACUUUCCCCCUUAAUUUUUAGGAUCUCUAGUUUGGUUUUCUUCUAGGGGUUUUAAUUUGUUUGCUUUCAAGUUUUUUUUAUUUGCAUUUCCAAUUCAUUGAUCUCUGCCCUCCCUAGUUUGUUAAAAUAUGCACUCAGGGAUAUGAAUUUUCCUCUGAUUACUGCUUUGGCUGCAUCCCAUAAGGUUUGAAAGAAUGUUUCACCAUUGUCAUUUUCCUUGAUAAAAUUAUUAAUUGUUUCUAUGAUUUGUUCUCUAACUAACCAAUUUUGGAGUAUCAUAUUAUUUAAUUUCCAAUUAAUUUUUGAUUUGUUUGUCCAUGUACCCUUACUGAUCAUUAUUUUUAUUGCCUUAUGAUCUGAAAAGACUGCAUUUAUUAUUUCUGCUUUUCUGCAUUUGUAUGCCAUGUUUCUGUGACCUAGUGUAUAGUCAAUCUUUGUGAAUGUGCCAUGUGGUUUUGAGGAGAAUGUGUAUUCCUUUUUGUCCCUAUUUAUUUUUCUCCAUAUGUCUAUUAACUCUAGUUUUUCUAAGAUUUCAUUCACAUCUUUUCCUCUUUCUUAUUUAUUUUUUGAUUUGAUUUAUCUAAAUUUGAUAGUGGUUAGUUCAAAUCUCCCACUAAUAUGGUUUUACUGUCUAUUUCCUCCUUCAAUUCUCCUAGUUUCUCCAUUAGAAAUUUGGGUGCUAUACUAUUUGGUGCAUACAUGUUGAUUAGUGAUAUUUCCUCAUUAUCUAAAGUCCCUUUAAACAAAAUAUAUUUACCUUCCCUAUCCGUUUCAAUCAGGUCUAUUUUUGCUUUGGCUUUGUCAGAUAUCAUGAUUGCAACUUCUGCCUUCUUUCUAUCAGUUGAGGCCCAGAAGGUCUUACUCCAUCCUUUAAUUCUGACCUUGUGAGUGUCUAUCCGCCUCAUGUGUGUUUCUUUUUUUUUUUAACCCUUACCUUCUGUCUUGGAGUCAAUACUCUGUAUUGGCUCCAAGGCAGAAGAGUGGUAAGGGCUAGGCAAUGGGGGUCAAGUGACUUGCCCAGGGUCACACAGCUGGGAAGUGUCUGAGGUCAGAUUUGAACCUAGGACCUCCCAUCUCUAGGACUGGCUCUCAAUCCACUGAGCUACCCAGCUGCCCCCUCUCAUGUGUGUUUCUUGAAGACAACAUAUGGUAGGGUUUUGGAUUCUAAUCCAUUCUGCUAUUCAUUUACAUUUUAUGGGUGAGUUCAUCCCAUUCACAUUCAAAGUUAUGAUUGUCACUUGUGGACUCCCUGACAUUUUGAUAUCCUCCCCUAAUUCUGACCUUUCUUCUUUAGCUAUAACCUUUUAAGCCAGUGAUUUACUUUAAAUAAGUCCCCCUAGUCCCCUCCCUUGAUAUGUUUCCCUUUCUAGCCCCUCCCUUUUUGUUCCCUCCCCCUCCCCCCUCUCUUUCCCUCCCUUUUUGUGUUCCCUCCCCUCCUACCCCUCUUGGUUUUCCCUUCUCCCUUACCCCAUUGGAUAAGAUAAAAUUCAAGAUCCCAAUGGAUCUGGAUGCUCUUCCCUCUCAGAGUUGAUUUCACUGAGAGUAAGGUUUAAGUAAAAACUCUCUUUCUCUCUUUCUUAUAGGAGAAUUCUUCCCCUCCUCUUCCCAUGUGUAUCUUUGUGUGAGAAAGAUUAUUCUAUUUAGUUUUUUUUCCUAUUUCUUGGAGUAUAUCUUAGUACCAUCAAUGAUUCCCCCCUCCCUUUUUCUUUCUAUCCCCCCUUUCUCCAUAUCUUCUUGAUGCCUCAAACUUUCCCUAUGAGUGAUUCUUCUUACUAUUCUAAUGAUGCAUACAAUUUUUGAGGGUUACACAUUACAUUUCCCCCACAUAUUAAUAUAUAUAAAUUGAUAUAAAUAUAAUCCUUAUAGAAGAGAGUUUGAAUAAAAGAAAAAUAUAACAUUUUUUUCCUUUUCCCUUUCCUUCAUAUUUACCUUUUCAUGUUUCUCUUGCUCUUUGUGUUUGGAUAUCAAACUUUUCACAGAGUUCUGGUCUUUUCUUUUCAAAUGUUUGGAAAUCUUGUAUUUUGUUGAAUGCCCAUACUUUCCCCUGGAAGUAUAUAGUCAGUUUUGAUGGAUAGCUGAUUCUUGGUUGAAGACCCAGCUCUCUUACUUUUCUGAAUAUCAUGUUCCAUGUCUUACGGUCGUUCAGAGUGGAAAUUGCUAGGUCCUGUGUGACCCCGAUUGGUGUUCCUUUAUAUCUAAAUUGUCUUUUUCUGGCUUCUUGUAAGAUUUUUUCUUUUGCUUGGAAGCUCUGGAAUUUGGCAAUUACAUUCCUGGGAGUUGUCUUUUGGGGAUUUAGUGUAGAGGGUGUUCUGUGAACUCUUUCAAUGCAUAUUUUGUUCCCUAUUUCUAGAAUCUCUGGGCAGUUUUCUUUGAUGAUAUCAUGUAUUAUGAUAUCAAGAUUACUGUUUUUCUCUGUUUUUUGGGGCAGACCAGUGAUUCUCAAGUUGUCUCUCCUUCCUCUGUUUUCCAGGUCUGUCACCUUGUCAGUGAGAUAUUUUAUGUUGUGUUCUAAUUCUUUAGUCUUUUGACUUUGUUUUAUUAAUUCUUACUCGUUUGCAAGAUUAUUGUCUUCCAGUUGCCUGAUUCUGACCUUUAAAGACUGGUUUUCCUUUUCAGUUUGGUCUGACAUGUUUUUUGAGGCUUCGAGCUGUUUCUGCAUUUGCAUAUUUUGGUCUCUCAUAUUGCUGAGUUCCUUUUGCAUUGUUUCCCAUUUUUCCUGCCAGAAGGCUUCCAUCUUUUUUAUAAUUUCCCAUUUAAAUUCUUUAAGAGUUUGUGGAGAAUUUCCGUUUCCUUUGGAAGGUUUUGGAGUAUUUAUUUGUGUUUCCUCUCCUAUCUCCUCUGCAUUUUGUAUUUUUGCUCCAUAAAAUGUGUCCAAAGUCACCCUCUUCUUCUUGCUUUUCUUGGUUUUUUCAGGCUUUUGCACUUCUGUACUGUUUGCCAUCUCUAUCUGAGUGAGGAGGACUGGCUCUUAGUGUAUCUGUCUGAUGGUCCGAGGCUUUAGCCCCAGGCAAAUUGUCUGUUCUCCAUUCUCCUCAGCUGUGCUGUCUUCCUGGGGAAGCCCAGGGUCUUCCCUCCCCUGCCUACUGGUGUUUCAGGUGUUACUGCUCUCAGUUCCCUCCAGUUGCUUCUCCACUGCCUUACUUCCACGCUUUGAGCCUGGCACAGCACUGUUUGCAAGGUACCUUAGUGCCUUUGCCAGCCCUGAGGUUUCUGUCCUUUCAGAAGACCCUGCACUCUAAGGGGGGAGGGGUUCUGGCCUCCCUGAACUCUGAGGGCUCCUGAUGGGAUUAGGUUCAACUGGGUUGGUCUGGAUGUGCCCCGAAGCAAAAACCUUCACUGCCAUCUGUAUUGGAUGCCCUGAGACUGGCCCAGGUUACUUUUAAGGUACGCCCUUUGGAGCAACCCCUUUGCAAGCCCCGAGGUUUCUGUCCUUUCAGAGGACCCUGCACUUUAAGGGUGGAGGGGUCCUGGCCUCCCUGAACUCUGAAGGCUCCUGUUGGGAUUAUGUUCAGCUGGGUUGGACUGGAUGUGUCCCAAAGCAAAAACCUCUGAGACUCAGAUGGAGCCCCCCGUCUCUCUCUGUUUCCCUGCCAUCUGUGUUGGAUGCUCUCGAGACUGGCUCAGGUUGCUUUCAAGGUGCUCCCUUCAGAACAGCCAGCCCUGGGGCCCUUUUUCUGGCCCUGAUGUUCCUGCUGCUGCCACGGGCUCAGCACUCUGGGUUGGGGGGGAGGGGUCCUGGGACCUUCCUUCUGCUUUCCCCUUAGACCUGAGUGAUCUAGGAUUCCGGCUUUUGGGGGGUGUACCUUUUGAUCCGAGUCCAGGAGGAGGUUCCCCGGCUAUGUCCUGUUGUUAAGUUUGAAUUUCAAUCCCCUAGGAGCAUUCAGUUUGUGAUCGGUAAGGAAGGGUUUUCAGAGGCCUGAACUUUUGCUGCCUCUAAGCCACCAUCUUGACUGGAAAUCUCCUAUCUAUCUUUCUAAUCUGUGAAAAUGUCUUCUUUAGUAGAGUAUAAACUCCUUUAGGGUAUGGACUCACAUUUGGUAAUAGCAUCUAUUUUAUAUGUUAGGGAGUAGAAUCUAAUAACAAAGAAAAUAAUAAAAAGCCUCUUAAAGGCUUUGACUCUAAGGUUGAGUCUAAAAGGUGCAAAGGUUUCCUAAGAGUCAGAGGUGAAGAAGAGCAUACUAGACAAGGAUGAAGGAGGUAAGAGAUGAAGUGUCAGUCCUAGAGUAUAAGACUAGAAGAAAUCUAAGGGAACACCCAAGUUUAUGGACCUAGAGAAUGGAGAAGUUAAAUGACUUGAAUAAAUGUUUAGUGAAUUAAAUUGCCCAAGAACAUACAAAAUGGUAAGCAAUAGAUCUUAGAUUCAAACCCCAAGUUCAGUAUCCUUGUUCUUCUAUAAAAUGUCACCCCUCAGCCUGGUGUGCCUCCUCUCAUCUAUACUUUCAGGUUAGACUGAUCUUGAUUUACUAAUUUGCAAUUAUGGUUCCACUGAGUCAAAGAAUCAUAGACUUAGAGCUAGAAAGGAAUUUAGAGGUGUUUAAAUCCCACCUCAUUUCACAGAUGAGGAAACUAGAGGAAGUUGGGAGGAGUAGAGAAAAUGGGCUUUUAUUAAGCACUUACUUUCUGUCAGGUACAAGAGAUUGGAACUGAGGCUAGAACCCAGGUCUUUUAUCCUCUGUUUGGUGCUUCCUCAGGAAUCCUAUUGUACUGGAUCAGGUCAAUUCAAUUUCAAUUCAAAAGAUAAUUAUUCAGUUCCACAAACAGGAUGGCAUAGUGGAAAGAGUACUGAAAAUGGAGUCAUGAAAGACUUGGGUUCUUGUCCCAUCUCUGGCUCUUAUUAGUGACAUGACAAUGGGCAAGUCAUUUAACUGGAGUCCCAGUUUCAUCAUCUGUAAAAUGGAAAUAACAAUAAUUAUGCUACCAAACUUACAUGGUUGUUUUAGGGGUCAAUUUCCAAAUCUGAAAGACCUAUAGUAAUAUGCUGCUAUUACUGAACACAGCUGGGAACAAAAAGAUUACCAAAACCUAUGCAUUUUUGCCUUCAAGAAGCUUACUUGGGAUAUUCUCCAAAUAGACACAGAAACAAACAGAUAAAUGAUACAUGUAAACAGAUAAGUAUAAUACAGAUGUAAAGGUGUGUGUACAUUGCUCAUGAAGGUUCUGUAUCUGUUUUGUCUAAAUGCAGUUCAUGGGGAAGCAUGAAUCUUUCCCUACCUGGAGGAGUGUUGGAGAAGAGGUCAUAAGCUAGCUGCUCUGUUCUGUUCUUCUCGGAAAAAGGGUACCAGACCAGAAUUAUAUUUACACCCCCCACACCACACCCCAAUUGCUGGUUAUGGGUAAUUAUUUAUCUUAGGUUCAAGAUGCUUCUCUGAUGGCUGUCUUGGAAAAGAGAAGGGGUACUGGGCUUUCACACACAGACCUGGUUCUCUCCUGGUACCCAGUUCUGCCUAUAUCAUCCUUUUGCUCAGAAUCAUAGGAUCACAGAUAUAGAGUGAGAAGGCAUCUCAUUGAGCUCAUCACCACCACCACCACCCAUUUUAUAGAUAAGGAAGCUGUGGCAUAGAGAUGAUUCACUCAGUAUCAUCAGCUAGUAUCUGAAGAGGGAUGUGAACGUGGGUCUCUCUAACCACACAUCUAGGGCACUGUCUACCACACCAUUCUGUCUCUCUUCAUUGAUUCCCUCUUGCUUUUAGCACUUUGGUGGCUCCAUGAUCUCAUCAAUGUGGUCACAACUGAUGUUCCCCUUCUCAUCCUGUGCAAUUUUUGUCAGUUUCCCCUGUCCAAUGCCUUCCUCUAAGCCAUUUAACAUUGCAUGGGUAUGUGAACAGAUGCAAUAAUGUAAGCAGAACCAGGAAGACAACAGACACUAUAGCAUUAUCAAUGGAAAAAACAACCACAAUAAACAAAAAUCAAAACAGCAUGGAACUAUCAUGACCUUGCUUGGCCUCAAAGAAGAGAUAUGAGAAAGCACAUUCUUCCCUGUUGGACAGAGGUGUGGAACACUACAUCUAAUGUACCUGGUUAAUGUGUUAGUUAGGUAGUCAGAUGGCUCAGAGGAUAUGGAACAAUGGUCAGGAAGACCUGAGUUCAAAUUCAGCCUCAGUCUUUACCAGCUGCAUGACCCUAGGCAAGUCAAUUAAAUUUGUCUGCCUGGGUUUCCUGAUCUAUAACAUGGAAAUAAAAAUUUAAAUAGCAGAGUUGUUGUAAGGAUCAAAUCAGAUAAUAUUGUAAAGUAUUUUGCAAAUUGUAAAAUGCUAUAUAGGGACAACUGGGUGGCUCAGUGGAUUGAGAGCCAGACCUAGAGAUGGGAUGUCCUGAGUUCAAAUCUGGCCUUAGACACUUCCUAGCUGUGUGACCCUAGGCAAGUCACUUAGCUUCCAUUGCCUAGCCCUUACCACUCUUCUGCCUUAGAACCAAUACAUGGUAUUGAUUCUCAGUCAGAAGAUAAGAAUUUAAAAGAAUAAAGUGCUAUAUAAAUGAUAGCUAUAUUUUUCCCCCUUAGAGUGUUUUUUUUCCUUUGUUAUGAGAGAUGGCUCUCUGAAAAGGCUAAGGGGAACAAUAUAGAUUUGGAAAUAAAGACAAUGUAAAAACCAAAGAUAAUAUUUUCUUUAAAAAGCAUUAUGUGGGUAUAAUGGGUAUAAUAUAGCACUUGGGCUAUCUGACCCUAAUCUCACCCUCUUCAAAGUGAUUAGCCUAACUCAUUUUUCUAAUCAUAUACAUCCUAAAAAUCUUUUAUACUACUUCAUGACCACAAAUGAUCAGUGGUGAUAAGCUGCAGCCUAUUUAUACCCAACACACAUCUCUCUAUUGCCCUUGGAGUCACAUGCAAUUUUGAUUCUUCAGUAAUUUAGGCAUCCCAAGAUUCACAGGUAUACAGUCUCAUCUGGAGACUUGCUGUUAAAAAGAUGAGUUUUGGUGUCAAGAAGCAUCUUGGGAUCCUUGAAAGCAUUGGGCAGUUUCCCAAAUGAAAUCCAAACUUGCUCCAUUCCUCUUAUUCAAUAAUGAUGACAGCUCCUCUGAGAUACCCUUGCAGUGAUUGUCUGAGAUAUAUGUACCCAUGGACUUGGACAACAAAUGGGCUGCCUACUCAACUGCACAUCAGAGUCUGGAAAAUAGGCUUUCUUCAAUCAUUUGAUUUAUUCUGUGUGAAAUACUUGCCCGAUCUCUUUUUGAAUGAAUCUCACUGAAAAGGCCCUAUAGUAUUGUAUUGUUAGAUGCAAUCAGCACAGUUAUUUGUGACCAGUCACACCUGGUAAACCUCUCCCUCUCUCUCUCUCUCUCUCUCUCUCUCUCUCUCUCUCUCUCUCUCUCUCUCUCUCUCUCUCUUUAAUUCUUGGGAUCAUGUUGCUUCCUCUUCUUUUUGGGCUCCAUACAGGACAUCUUCAAUGGCAGCAGGGAAUGAUUUAGGCAAGAACACAAUUCAUUGUUUUAUGCCUUGCUUGGGAUUGAUAAUAGGAGAAUCUCUUAAUAACAUUGCUUCUUAUGAUAGCAAAUAGGCAGAAAACAAACUAUGUGCCCACUAAUUGGGGAACAAAUUGUGCUCUGUGAGUAGAAUGAAAUAUUGCACUGUUCCUACUUUUAGGGAAUGUGCUUUGAAGAAGUAGGUUUUGUGGGUGUUUGGGGAGCUAUACUGACCCCUUCAAAAAGACCAACAAAUACCUAUGAUGAUAUGGAUGUCCUGUUAUUGUAGAAAGAGCAUUAGCCUGGAACUAGGAAAACCUAUGUUUGGUUCCUAAAUCUAAUACCUACUUAGCUGUGUGACCAUGGACAAUUCACUGAGCCUCAGUUUCCUCAUUUAUAAAAUGGUCAUAACUGGAGGGAUCAGAAGUUGGAGGAAAAAGCAUUUAUUAAAUAUCUUCUCUAUGCCAAGAUCUAUUCUAAGAGCUUUACACAUAUCUCAUUUGAUCCUCAUAACAAUCUUGUGAUAUAAGUGCUAUUAUUAUCCUCAUUUUGCAGUUGAGGAAACUGAGACAGGAGUUAAAUGAUAUGUGUUCAGAGCCACACAAGUUGGGAAGUAUCUGAGGCCAUCUUUGAAUUCAGAUCUUCUUGUUACCAGGUCUAGUAUUGUAUUCAUUGGGCCACCUGGUAUCUACCCUCAGAGUUGUUAUGAAGCUCAAAUAUUAUAACAUUUAGUCAAUAAGCAUUUAUUAGGGACCUACUAUGUGCCUGGCACUGUGCUAAGCACUGGGGAUAGGAAGAAAUUUUAAAGUUAGUCCUUUCCUUCAAGGAAGUUAGUCUAAUGGGGGGAGACAAGAUACAAACAGCUUUGUACAAACAAGAUCUAGACAAUAAAUUGGUGAUAAACUCAGAGGAAAGACACUAAUAUGAAGGACUGGGAAAGGCUUCUCAUAGAAAAUGGGAUUUUAGCUUAGUCUUGAAGGAAGCCAAAAAACCAGAAAUUAGAGGUGAGGAAGGAAAGAAUUCUAGGCAAAGGAAAAAGUGGUGAAAACAAUGGAGUAAGGAGUGUCUGUGUGAAGACCAGCAAGGAAACCAGUGUCACUGAAUCACAACGUCCAUGGAGGGAUAUAGUGGGUGAGGAGCUUAGAAAGGUAGAGGAAGGAAAGGCAGGUUAUAAAGGCUUUUGACACCAAGCAGAGAAUUUUGUAGCUGAUCUUGGAGGUGACAGAGAUUUAUUGGAAUUUAUUGACUAGGCAGUGGCAUGAUCAGAUCUAUACUUUUGUUGAUGAGUCGUUUUCAGUCAUGUCUGAGUUUUUGUGAUCUCAUUUGGGGUCUUCUUGGCAAAGUUACUGAAAUAAUUUGCCAUUUCCUUCUCCAGGUCAUUGAUAGAUGAAGAAACUGAGGCAAAUAGGGUAAAGCAACUUGCCCAAGGUCACAUAGCUAGUAUCUAAGAUUGGCUCUGAAUUCAGAGUUUCCUGACUCCAAGCUGAGUGCUCUAUCCAUUGCACCACCUAGCUGCCUGAUUUUUUUCUUUAAAGAGAUCAUUUUGACAGUUGAAUGGAAGAUGGACUAUAAAGAGGAGAGACUUGAGGCAAGAAGACAGGAUAGAAGAGGUACAGAGAUGGCCUGGAAGCCAGGAAGUCAUAUAUUGACUAUGACUGUGAGCAAGUCACUUAACCUCUUUACUGCUUGGAUAACUUUCUUUAAAAAAAAAAAACCUGUAUUUUAUUUGGUCAUUUCAAAACAUUAUUCAUUGGAGACAAAGAUCAUUUUCUUUUCCUGCCCCACCCCCCAGCCGACCGCGCGAUUCCACUGGGUAUCACAUGUGUUCUUGAUUCAAACCUAUUUCCAUAUUGUUGGUAUUUGCAUUAGUGUGCUCAUUUAGAGUCUCUUCUCAGACAUGUCCCCUCAACUCCUGUAGUCAAGCAGUUGCUUUUCCUCUGUGUUUUUACUCCCACAGUUUGUCCUCUGUUUGAGGAUAGUGUUUUUUCUCCUAGAUCCCUGCAGAUUGUUCAGGGACAUUGCAUUGACACUAAUGGAGAAGUCCAUUACGUUCGAUUGUACCACAGUGUAUCAGUCUCUGUGUACAAUGUUUUCCUGGUUCUGCUCCAUUCGCUCUGCAUCACUUCUUGGAGGUUGUUCCAGUCUCCAUGGAAUUCCUCCACUUUAUUAUUCCUUUUAGCACAAUAGUAUUCCAUCACCAACAUAUACCACAAUUUGUUCAGCCAUUCUCCAGUUGAAGGGCAUCCCCUCAUUUUCCAAUUUUUGUCCACCACAAAGAGAGCUGUCAUGAAUAUUCUUGUACAAGUCUUUUUCCUUUUUAUCUCUUUGGGAUAUAGACCCAGCAGUGCUAUGGCUGGAUCAAAGGGCAGACAGUCUUUUUUCGCCCUUUGGGCAUAGUUCCAGAUUGCCCUCCAGAAUGGUUGGAUCAAUUCACAACUCCACCAGCAAUGAAUUAAUGUCCCAACUUUACCACAUCCCCUCCAGCAUUCAUUACUUUCCUUUGCUGUCAUGUUGACCAAUCUGCUCAGUGUGAGGUGAUACCUCAUAGUUCUUUUGAUUUGCAUCUCUCUGAUUAUAAGAGAUUUAGAUUGACAGUAUCCAAGAUGAAAAGGGAGACCUCACCUCUAAUGAAGAGGAAAUCAAGGCAAUCAUUAAAAACUACUAUGCCCAAUUAUAUGGUAAAAAAUAUGGCAAUCUAAGUGAUAUGGAUGAAUAUUUACAAAAAUAUAAAUUGCCUAGACUAAAAGAAGAAGAAAUAAAUUACCUAAACAAUCCCAUAUCAGAAAAAGAAAUUGAACAAGCCAUCAAAGAACUCCCUAAGAAAAAAUCCCCAGGUCCAGAUGGAUUCACAAAUGAAUUCUAUCAAACAUUCAAAGAACAGCUAACCCCAAUACUAUACAAACUAUUUGACAUAAUAAGCCAAGAAGGGGUUCUAAUAAAUUCUUUUUAUGGCAUAAACAUGGUACUGAUCCCAAAGCCAGGCAGGUUAAAAACAGGGAAAGAAAACUAUAGGCCAAUCUCCAUAAUGAAUAUAGAUGCAAAAAUCUUAAAUAGGAUACUAGCAAAAAGACUCCAGCAAGUCAUCACAAGGAUUAUUCACUAUGACCAGGUAGGAUUCAUACCAGGAAUGCAAGGAUGGUUCAAUAUUAGGAAAACCAUCCACAUAAUUGACCAUAUCAACAAGCAAACUGACAAAAAUCACAAGAUUAUCUCAAUAGAUGCAGAAAAAGCAUUUGAUAAAAUACAACACUCAUUCCUAUUAAAAACACUAGAAAGUAUAAGAAUAGAAGGGCCUUUCCUAGAAAUAAUAAACAGUAUAUAUCUAAAACCAUCAGCAAACAUCAUCUGCAAUGGGGAAAAACUUGAAGCCUUCCCAAUAAGAUUAGGAGUCAAACAAGGAUGCCCAUUAUCACCGCUAUUAUUUAACAUUGUACUAGAAACACUAGCAGUAGCAAUUAGAGAAGAAAAAGAAAUUGAAGGUAUUAAAAUUGGCAAAGAGGAGACCAAGCUGUCACUCUUUGCGGAUGAUAUGAUGAUUUACUUAAAGAAUCCUAGGGAAUCAGCCAAAAAGCUAAUCAAAAUAAUCAACAACUUUAGCAAAGUUUCAGGAUACAAAAUAAACCUACAUAAGUCAUCAGCAUUUCUAUAUAUCUCCAACCCAGUUCAGCAGCAAGAAUUAGAAAGAGAAAUUCCAUUUAAAAUCACCCAAGUCAAUAGAAAAUACUUAGGAAUCUAUCUGCCGAGACAAACACAGGAACUAUAUGAACACAACUACAGAACAUUCUCCACACAAUUAAAACUAGAUCUAAACAAUUGGAAAAACAUUGAUUGCUCAUGGGUGGGACGAGCUAACAUAAUAAAAAUGACCAUCCUACUCAAACUUAUCUAUCUAUUUAGUGCCAUACCCAUUGAACUACCAAAAAACUAUUUUACUGAAUUAGAGAAAACCAUAACAAAGUUCAAUUGGAAGAAUAAAGGAUCAAGGAUAUCCAGGGAAAUAAUGAAAAAAAAAAUACAAAGGAAGGGGUCCUUGCAGUCCCAGAUCUCAAACUAUAUUAUAAAGCAGUGGUAAUCAAAACAAUUUGGUACUGGCUAAUAGACAGAAAGAAGGAUCAGUGGAAUAGACUUGGGGCAAGUGAUCUCAGCAAAACAGUCUAUGACAAACCCAAAGACCCCAGCUUUUGGGACAAAAAUCCACUAUUUGAUAAAAACUGCUGGGAAAAUUGGAAGACAGUAUGGGAGAGAUUAGGUUUGGGUCAACAUCUCACACCCUACACCAAGAUAAACUCAGAAUGGGUGAAUGACUUGAAUAUAAAGAAGGAAAAUAUAAGUAAAUUAAGUGAACACAGAAUAGUAUACAUGUCAGACCUUUGGGAAGGGAAAGAUUUUAAAACCAAGCAAGACUUAGAAAGAGUCACAAAAUGCAAAAUAAAUAAUUUUGACUACAUCAAAUUAAAAAGCUUUUGUACAAACAAAACCAAUGUAACUAAAAUUAGAAGGAAAGCAACAAAUUGGGAAACAAUCUUCAUAACAAAAACCUCUGACAAAGGUCUAAUUACUCAAAUUUAUAAAGAGCUAAACCAGUUGUACAAUUCUCCAAUUGAAAAAUGGGCAAGGGACAUGAAUAGGCAAUUUUCAGUUAAAGAAAUCAAAACUAUUAAUAAGCACAUGAAAAAGUGUUCUAAAUCUCUUAUAAUCAGAGAGAUGCAAAUCAAAACAACUCUGAGGUAUCACCUCACACCGAGCAGAUUGGUCAACAUGACAGCAAAGGAAAGUAAUGAAUGCUGGAGGGGAUGUGGCACAGUAGGGACAUUAAUGCAUUGCUGGUGGAGUUGUGAAUUGAUCCAACCAUUCUGGAGGGCAAUUUGGAACUAUGCCCAAAGGGCGAAAAAAGACUGUCUGCCCUUUGAUUCAGCCAUAGCACUGCUGGGUUUGUACCCCAAAGAGAUAAUAAGGAAAAAGACUUGUACAAGAAUAUUCAUAGCUGUGCUCUUUGUGGUGGCCAAAAAUUGGAAAAUGAGGGGAUGCCCUUCAAUUGGAGAAUGGCUGAACAAAUUGUGGUGGAAUACUAUUGUGCUAAAAGGAAUAAUAAAGUGGAGGAAUUCCAUGGAGACUGGAACAACCUCCAGGAAGUGAUGCAGAGCGAAAGGAGCAGAACCAGGAAAACAUUGUACACAGAGACUGAUACACUGUGGUAGAAUCGAAUGUAAUGGACUUCUCCAUUAGUGUCAAUGCAAUGUCCCUGAACAAUCUGCAGGGAUCUAGGAGAAAAAACACUAUCCUCAAGCAGAGGACAAACUGUGGGAGUAAAAACACAUAGGAAAAGCAACUGCUUGACUACAGGGGUUGAGGAGACAUGUCUGAGGAGAGACUCUAAAUGAGCACCCUAAUACAAAUACCAACAACAAGGAAAUGGGUUCAGAGCAAGGACACAUGUGAUACCCAGUGGAAUCGCCUGUCGGCUAGGGGAGGGGUGGAGGGUGGGGAGGAGGAAGAGAAAAUGAUCUGUUUCCAAUGAGUAAUGUAUGAAAAUGACCAAAUAAAAUAAUGUUUUAAAAACUAAAAACAGAAAAAAGAGAUUUAGAACACUUUUUCAUGUCCUUAUUAAUAGUUUUGAUUUCUUUAUCUGAAAACUGCCUAUUCAUGUCCCUUGCCCAUUUUUCAAUUGGAGAAUGGCUUGAUUUUUUGUACAAUUGAUUUAGCUCUUUGUAAAUUUGAGUAAUUAAACCUUUGUCAGAGGUUUUUAUUAAGAUUGUUUCCCAAUUUGUUGCUUCCCUUCUGAUUUUAGUUACAUUGGUUUUGUUUGUACAAAAGCUUUUUAAUUUGAUGUAAUCAAAAUUAUUGAUUUUACAUUUUGUGACUCUUUCUAUGUCUUGCUUGCUUUUAAAAUCUUUCCCCUCCCAAAGGUCUGACAUGUAUACUAUUCUGUGUUCACCUAAUUUACUUAUAGUUUCCUUCUUUAUGUUCAAGUCAUUCACCCAUUCUGAGUUUAUCUUGGUGUAGGGUGUGAGAUGUUGAUCCAAACCUAAUCUCUCCCACAUUGUCUUCCAAUUUUCCCAGCAGUUUUUAUCGAAUAGUGGAUUUUUGUCCCAAAAGCUGGGAUCUUUGAGUUUAUCAUAUACUGUUUUGCUGAGAUCACUUGCCCCAAGUCUAUUCCACUGAUCUUUCUUUCUGUCUUUUAGCCUUGGAUAACUUUCUAAGACUAAAAGUUGUACAAAAAAUGUUAACCUGCAUUGGUAAUGGGAGUGUCCCCAUCUGAGAGUAUUGCAUAUCAACAGAAUCACAGGUCCAGUCCCUCUUCCUUAAUAGAUUCAGUCCAACAUUCUGGUGGUUUAUGAUCCUUUUUUUGGAUUCUCCACUUUGUUAUCCAAUGUUAGUCUACUCUCCUAGCUUUGCACCACCUACAAAUUUGAUAAUUAUGCUAUAUUAGAUUCCUUCAAGUAGUUGUAAAAAAAAAAAUUCAUCUCUCUGGAAGCACUCCACCAAAGAGUUUUCUGAGCUGAAAUGGAACUAUUAAUGAUUACCUUUGGAGGUAGGUCAAAAUUUUCAUCUAGUUCCAAAUCCAUAUAACUAAAUGAUGAUAUAUUAAAGAUACACUUGUCCAUCUUUUCUACAAGAAUGACAUGAGAGACUUUGUCAAUUCUUUGAUAAAAUCUAGAAAAACCAAGUGGUUCCAUUAGAGAAUGGCUGGAAAUAUUAAGAUAUCUGAAAUGAUCACAUGUAUUCACAUUAUUUGAAGUUAUAAUUAUAUAAAAUUUGCUGAUUGAUUCCAGCCAAAUGAAAACAAAUAAUGUGGUCACUUAAGAGGAUUCCUUAUUUGCGCUAAUCAGCACAAGACUGUAAUGGAAUAAUCCUGGACAGUAAGAAAUGAUGUUUAUUUCUGUAAACAGCAAAAUAUUUAUAGCAUACUUUUUGUGAUAACAAAGAAGUGGAAAUAAAGUAAAUGUCCAUAGAUUGGGAAAUGGCAAAACAAAUUGUGGUACAUGAAUGUAAUGGAAUAUUAUUGUGCUGUAAGGAGUGACAAAUGUGAUGAAUAUAGGAAAGAAUGGAAAGAUCUACAUAAAUUAAUACAAAGUGAAAAAAGUAGAGCCAAAAAUUAUAUACACAGUGAUUACAACAAUGUAUAUCAAAAGUUAACCUCAAAAAAAAGUAAAUGCUGCAAAAUUAUGAAGAGCAAACGUAGCGCUAAAGAAGGGAUAUAAAAAGAUCCCCCCACAUUGUAUAUAUUUUCAGACUUUUUCAACAUGAUGAUUAGUUUUUUAUUUUUUUUUUGUCUAAAAAUACUACUUGUUAUAGGAUGACUCUCUAAGAAGAGAAACAGGAGAGAGUCUGAGGAAAAUUCAGGUGAUAGAAAAAAGACAUCAAUAAAAUUUGUUUAAAUUUAAAAAGAAAUGAUUACAAGAAAUUCAAAGAAACAUGGGCAAAUUUGUAUGUAAUGAUAUAACUAUGAAAUAAAUAGAACCAAAAUAACAAUAUAUAACAUUUUGGUUUUAUAUCUAUCAUCUCCUAAAAUUUACUUUUAAAAAUAAAUAUUUUAUAUAUGUGUGUGUGUAUACAUAUACAUACACAAAACACUUUCUCCUAUGAUCUUCUUGGAGUAUAUACAGUGAAAUCUCAAUAUCAAUGAUUAUAGAUAUUUUAAAUAUAUUUUACAGAUAAUUCCAAUUGCUUUCCAGAAGGGUUAGACUAAGUAACAGCUUCAGUGAUAGUAUAUUGCUGUGCCUGCCUUUUCACAGUCCUUCCAGCAUUGACUGUUCCUAUCUUUUAACAUCUCUGCCAAUUUGUUUAGUGUGAAAUAAGAUUUUAGAGUUGUUUAGAUGUGCAUUUUCUCAUACUAUUCUUGAUUUGAGAGCAAUUGUUCAUAAGGCUGUUAAUAAUUUGUUGUUCUUCUCUUGAGAACUAUUUAUACAUAUCUUUUGGCCAUUUGUCUUUUGGGGAAUGCUUUCUAGUGUAGAUAUACACAAAUGUGUGUGUGUAUAUACAUUGUGUGUUGUGUAUAUGGAUAUUCAUACACACAUAUACAUACAUAUAUAUGUAUAUAUUCUCUUUAAAUCUUGAAUAUCAAACCCUUAUCAGAGAUAUCUGAUGUAGGCAUUUUUUCCUCAAACUGACAGUUUCUCUACUUAUUCUUGAUGAGCUGAUAUUCAUGCAAAAGGGUUUAAAUUUGUAUUGUUUAUUAUUUAUGAUGUUAUUAUAUCAUAAAUUUUAUCAUUAAGGAUUCUCCCCAUGGCUUUAUCUGUGAAUAAUAUCACACAUGGUUUUCUUCUAAUUUUUUAAAAUAGUGUGACUUUUAAUAUAAAUUAUAAAUGUAAAGAUUUUGACCUUAAACAUGUAAAAAAUAAGCAUAUUCACCUAUUAUAGAGAAGACACUCUACCAAACUCCUUUUGUCAUUCAAAUAUGGUCCUAAUAGUUAAAUCUGGGAGGAAUAAAGCAAAGAAAUAAAACUAUAGUUCAACUUUGCUAAUAAAAUGAAUACAAAUAUUUUAAAAUAACAUAUUCACAAAUAGAAUACAGAAAUGUAUCUAAAACAAUUUAUUAUUACUUAUGAUUAAGUUAUAUGUAUGCUAGCUAUGCAAGGAAAGUUCAACAUUCCAAAAGCAUUAUUUUAUUCUAUGUAUUUAUUCCAUUAUUUUAAUUAAUCAUAUAAACAACAAAAACAUGAUUCUCUUUUUUAAACGCUUUUGACUAAAAUAUUUCUUUCCAAACUUUUCUCCUUUCUCUACUCAUUUCUAUUAAAAACUAACAAUCAGAUGCCUAGGAAAGUCUUAUUUAAUAUAAAGAAAAAUAUAUUCCUAAAACUAGGAAAAACACUGUUGUUGAGGAAGAAAACAUUAGAAGCUUUUCCAAUUAGACUGUCCCUUCUCCUCCCUAUGAAUUGACAUAGUAUUAGAAAUGCUAGUAAUUGCAGUUAAACAAAAGAUUGAGAAAUUAAAGAUCUAAACAUCAUCAAAGAGGAGUCACAAGUAUUCCUUUUUGUAAAGUGUAUGCUUGUUUCUAUAGAAAACCCCUGAGAAUCAGCUAAGAAACUAAUUAAGAUAAUGAAUAGCUUCAGUAAAAUAACAUGACACAACAUUAUGUCCUUACCACUCAUCAGCAUUUCUGUACAACACUGGAAAAAAAAAACAGGAGGAAAUGUUAAGAAAAUAUAUUCAAAUUAACUCUAAAAUAUCUGGGAGUUAACCUAGCAAGACGUGCUUAAAACUUAUAUAAACAUGAUUACAAAAUGCUUAAUAAAAAUAAAGGAAGAUAAAUAUAAUUGGAGGACUACUCACUGUUCAUGUUAAGGCUAAGUACAGUACUGUGUAUUGGUUCUAAGAACAGUAAGGGCUAGGCAAUGGGGGUUAAGUGACUUGCCCAGGGUCACACAGUUAGGAAGUUUCUGAGGGCAGAUUUGAACCCAGGACCUCCUGUCUCUAGGCCUGGCUCUCAAUCCACUGAGCCAUCUACCUGCCCCCUAAGCCAAUAUUUUUUUAAUGGUAUUACUGCCUAAACUAGUUUGUAUAUUAAGUGCUAAACCAAUGAUGAAAAUGAGAAUGAAAAAAAAAUGAGAAAAGAGAAAAGAGGGAGCCUAUUAUUACCAGAGCUCAAAUUAUAAUAUAAAGCAUUAAUCAUCAAAACUAUUUGGUACUCAAUUACAAUUCCAGAAGAUUCAUGAUGGAACAUGCUGCCAAUCCCAAGGCACAGAGGUGAUGGACUAAGAAUGCAAAAUGAGACAUAUGUUUAUUUGGUUAUUGCCAAUGUGGGAAUCUGUUCUACUUGACCAUACAUGUUUAUAACAGGGCUUUUGCUUUUCUUGCUUUCUCAAUAUGGGGCAGAAAAAAAACUUGAGAGGAAGAGAAGGUAGAUUUUCACUUGAGAAAUAAUUUUUUAAAACUAUUUGGUACUGAUUUUUAAAAAUCGAUCAGUCCCUCAAAAAAAAAACCAAUUAUGAAGAAGACUCCUUACUUAAUAAGAAACUGCUAGAAAAAUUGAAAAUCAGUUUGAUAUAAAAUAAUGUUAAGUGUUACAUCAUAUAUUAUAUUAUAAUACUAUUACUAUUAAAGCAUAAUAUACUUAUCCAAAUUUGCAGGAUCCAAGUGAUCCAUAUGUAAAAAAAUUAUAUUAUUUAAAAAUUAAGAAUUUAACAAAAGGCUACGGACAUUUCCCUAUGUAAAGAAAAAAGAAAGAGAACUGCCAGUGAAAACAAUAAUCUACUAUGUGUGGAUUUUCUUAAAAGUAUAUUUCUAAUUUAACACAGUAAUUCCAAUACCGACCUGCUUGGCUAUGUCCACUUCUGAAUUUUCUCUUCUCUCUUCUAUAUUAUGCUUUGUAUAACUCUUUAUUUGUUUUUUUUGUUGUUGUUGUUGUUUUUAUUUAAAAUGUUUUCAUGUUUACAUGAUUCAUUUUCUUUCUCUCCCCUCUUCCCUCCCCCCUCCCAGGGCCAACAAGCAAUUUCACUGGGUUGUACAAAUGUUAUCACUUGAUACCUAUUUCCAUAUUAUUCAUUUUUGCUAUAGAGCAAUUUUUAAAAGCCUAAACCCCAAAUCACAUCUCCAUAUAUACAUGUGAUAAAUGAUGUCAUAUGUUUUGCUUUUGCAUUUCUACUCCCACAGUUCUUUCUCUCAAUAUGGAUAGCAUUCUUUCCCAUAAGUCCUUCAGGAGUAUCCUGGCUUGUUGCAUUGCUACUAGCAGCCAAGUCCCUUACACUGGAUUGUUCCACAAUGUUUUACUUUCUGUGUAAAAUGUUCUCCAGGUUCUGCUCCUUUCACUUUGCAUCAGUUUCUGGAGGUCAUUCCAGUUCACAUAGAAUUUCUCCACUUUAUUAUUCCUUUGAACACAAUAGUAUUCCAUCACCAACAUAUACCACAAUUUGUUUAGCUAUUCCCCAAUCGAGGGACAAAAAAAAAAUUUCCAGUUUUUGCCACCACAAAGAGCAGAGCUAUGAAAAUUUUUGUACAAGUAUUUUUCCUUAUUAUCUCUUUGGGGUAUAAACCCAGCAGUGCUAUAUGGCUGGAUCAAAGGGUAGACAGUCUUUUUUCACCCUUUGGGCAUAGUUCCAAAUUGCCCUCCAGAAUGAUUGGAUCAAUUCACAGCUCGACCCGCAAUGUAUUAAUGUCCCCACUUUGCCACAUCCCCUCCAACAUUCAGUACUUUCCUUUGCUGUCAUGGUAACCAAUCUGCUAGGUAUGAGGUGAUACCUCAGAGUUGUUUUGAUUUGCAUUUCUCUGCUUAUAAGAGAUUUAGAGCACUUUUUCAUGUGCUUAUCAAUAGUUUUGAUUUCUUUAACUGAAAAUUGCCUAUUCAUGUCCCUUGCCCAUUUUUCAAUUGGAGAAUGGCUUGAUUUUUUGUACAACUGGUUUAGCUCUUUAUAAAUUUGAGUAAUUAGACCUUUGUCAGAGGUUUUUGUUAUGAAGAUUGUUUCCCAAUUUGUUGCUUCCCUUCUAAUUUUGGAUGCAUUAGUUUUGGUUGUACAAAACCUUUUUAAUUUGAUGUAAUCAAAAUUAUUGAUUUUACAUUUUGUGAUUUUUUUCUAACUCUUGCUUGGUUUUAAAGUCUUCCCUUUCCCAAAGAUCUGACAAAUAUACUAUUCUGUGUUCACCUAAUUUGCUUAUAGUUUCCUUCUUUAUAUUCAGGUCAUUCACCCAUUCUGAGUUUAUCUUGGUGUAGGGUGUGAGAUGUUGACCCAAACCUAAUCUCUCCCAUACUGUCUUCCAAUUUUCCCAGCAGUUUUUAUCAAAUAGUGGAUUUUGGUCCCCAAAACUGGGGAUCUUUGGGUUUAUCAUAGACUGUCCUGCUGAAGUCAUUUACCCCAAGUCUAUUCCACUGAUCCUCCUUUUUGUCUAUUAGCCAGUACCAAAUUGUUUUGAUUACCACUGCUUUAUAAUAUAGUUUGAGAUCUGGGACUGCAAGUCCUCUUUCCUUUGCAUUUUUUUUCAUGAUUUCCCUGGAUAUCCUUGAUCUUUUGUUCUUCCAAAUGAACUUUGUUAUGUUUUUUUCUAUUUCCGUAAAGAAGUUUUUUGGUAGUUCAAUGGGUAUGGCACUAAAUAGAUAGAUAAGUUUGAGUAGGAUGGUCAUUUUUAUUAUGUUAGCUCGUCCCACCCAUGAGCAAUCAAUGUUUUUCCAAUUGUUUAGAUCUAGUUUUAAUUGUGUGGAGAAUGUUCUGUAGUUGUGUUCAUAUAGUUCCUGUGUUUGUCUCGGCAGAUAGAUUCCUAAGUAUUUUCUAUUGACUUGGGUGAUUUUAAAUGGAAUUUCUCUUUCUAAUUCUUGCUGCUGAACUGGGUUGGAGAUAUAUAGAAAUGCUGAUGACUUAUGUAGGUUUAUUUUGUAUCCUGAAACUUUGCUAAAGUUGUUGAUUAUUUUGAUUAGCUUUUUGGCUGAUUCCCUAGGAUUCUUUAAGUAAAUCAUCAUAUCAUCCGCAAAGAGUGACAGCUUGGUCUCCUCUUUGCCAAUUUUAAUACCUUCAAUUUCUUUUUCUUCUCUAAUUGCUACUGCUAGUGUUUCUAGUACAAUGUUAAAUAAUAGCGGUGAUAAUGGGCAUCCUUGUUUGACUCCUAAUCUUAUUGGGAAGGCUUCAAGUUUUUCCCCAUUGCAGAUGAUGUUUGCUGAUGGUUUUAGAUAUAUACUGUUUAUUAUUUUUAGGAAAGGCCCUUCUAUUCCUAAACUUUCUAGUGUUUUCAAUAGGAAUGAGUGUUGUAUUUUGUCAAAGUCUUUUUCUCCAUCUAUUAAGAUAAUCAUGUGGUUUUUGUCGGUUUGCUUGUUGAUAUGGUCAAUUAUGUGGAUGAUUUUCCUAAUAUUGAACCAUCCUUACAUUCCUGGUAUGAAUCCUACCUGGUCAGAGUGGAUAAUCCUUGUGAUGACUUGCUGGAGUCUUUUUGCUAGUAUCUUAUUUAAGAUUUUUGCAUCUCUAUUCAUUAAGGAGAUUGGUCUAUAGUUUUCUUUCUCUGUUUUUGACCUGCCUGGCUUUGGGAUCAUGUUUGUGUCGUAAAAUGAAUUUGGUAGAACUCCUUCUUGGCUUAUUCUGUCAAAUAGUUUGUAUAAUAUUGGGAUUAGUUGUUCUUUGAAUGUUUGAUAGAAUUCAUUUGUGAAUCCAUCUGGACCUGGGGAUUUUUUCUUAGGGAGUUCUUUGAUGGCUUGUUCAAUUUCUUUCUCUGAUAUGGGGUUGUUUAGGUAAUUUAUUUCUUCCUCUGUUAGUCUAGGCAAUUUAUAUUUUUGUAAGUAUUCAUCCAUUUCACCUUGAUUGCCAUAUUUUUUGCCAUAUAAUUGGGCAUAGUAGUUUUUAAUGAUUGCCUUAAUUUCCUCUUCAUUAGAGGUGAGGUUUCCCUUUUCAUCUUGGAUACUGACAAUUUGUUUUUUUUCUUUCCUUUUUUUAAUUAAACUGACUAGUACUUUAUCUAUUUUAUUUGUUUUUUUCAAAGUACCACCUUCUAGUCUUGGAAUUUUUCUGUUUUGCAAACAACCACAUCCUUUAGGCAGAUCUUCCUAUCAGUAGAAGCCCUGCCUGCUCCAAGAUAUCAGUGUAAAACCUAUCCUGAAGAGGAACACAGCUAGAAGGGAAAGUAAAAGGUCAUCACAUCCAUCCUUCUACCUCUGGGGGAAGCCAUAUCUGAAAUUUGCUAGUAAUUGAAGUCAUUCUCAUUUUUAAAGGAAAAUAGAUUCCAAAUCUCUGUCUCUAUCUCUCUCACUUUCUCUCUAUUGCCCUUUCUCCCUCUCUCAAUAUAUAUGUAAAUAUAUAUAUAUAUAUAUUACUCCUUUCCCUCCCCCUCCAGUACCACAGCUUCAGUGAAUAAUAUCUAUAUAUGUAUAAUUUGUAUAUAUUUUAUAAAUUUAAUGAUACAUUCAGAAAAACAAACUAAAAAAAAUAAAAACAAAAUUUAGAAAAAUAAGUUCCAAGUGUGUAUAUAUUACUUUAACAAAUAAUAACCAUACCUUUUUCUGCCUAUCCUUCUGAUCAUUUACUUUUAUUUUUUAAAUUCUGCUCCUUAUAAUUUUUAUAUAGCAGGAUUGGCAUCUAUAUUGUUGUUCUGAUUCUGAUGUCUAUGCUACAUAAUACUUUAGAUAAGCCUUCCUCAUGGCACAGUUCUAGUUCUAAUUCAAUAACCAUUUAUCAAUGUCCUGCUAAGUGCUAGGAUUACAAAAUCAACACAGCCUUCGCAUUCAAAGAGUUUUAUUCAUAAGAAAAGGUACAAUAUCUACACAGAUAGUAAUUUGAGGAGAGAAUUCUAAGAACUGGGUGUAGGGUGGGAGAAAGGAGACAGGGAGAAAAAAGGAGUAGAAUCAAGGAAGGCUUAAUACAGAAGAUAGAAGCUAUGCCUUGAGGAAAGAUGGGAAUUCUGAAAGAAAGGAGGAAGGAGUAUAUUCUAGGAAUGGAGGUUAGGAGAUGGAAUGACACUUGGAGAAAAACUCAGUAAAUUUUGGCUGGAAUACAAUGGGUGUGAAGAGGAAGUAACAGUGAAAUAAGGCUAGAAAAUUGUGUUGGAACCAGACUGUAGAGGACUGUAAAUGCCAGGCUAAUGAAUUAAUGUCCUAAAAAAGAAUGUCUUAAUCUGGAGUUCAUGAAGUGUGGGGGUCCAAUUUUAGGGGGGAUCCUUCAAUUUAGAUGAGGAAAAAAAUCACGUUUAUCUUCACUAAUUUCUUACAGAAAUGAGCAUUCCCUUCAGUUACGAACAUGGGUAAAACAACAUUAGUCUAAGAAGAAUUCCAAGGGCUUCAUCAAAUUGCCCAAGGGAUUCACUAGAGAAAAAAGAUUAAGGACUCCAAUCCUAGAGAUAUUUAGGAACCACUGAAGGAUUCUGAGUAGGAGACUAAUAUGAUCAGAAUUGUUUUGGUAACUAUGCGAAAGAGAGAUUACAGAGAAGAAAGACUGAAUUAAAAGGCUAUUAUAAUAGUCCAGGCGAAAAGUGAUCAGAGGCAGGAAUAGUUUUUGAGAGAGGAGAUAUAUUCUUGUGGUAUUAUGGAGGUAGAAUCAGCAAGACUUGGCAGUGGUUAAGAUUAUCAAUAAUAGAGCAGAAAGAAUCAUGGAUGACUUUGAGGUUAUAAAGCUUGAUGACCGUGAACAUGGUGCUUCCCUUAACAGAAACCAAGAAGUUUGGAGGUGGGUCAGAUUUAUAAAGGAAGAUGGAGAAUUGGGGUUUGGACCCGGUGAGUUUGAGGUGCUCUUAGGACUUCCUUCUGGAAAUAUCUAGCAGGCAGCUGGAGAUGUUAGGAGAGAUUUGAGCUAGAUAUAGAGAUUUGAGAGUCUGAGUAUUGCUGAUAGUUGAAAAGGUAAGGGAUGGAAAGUACAGAAAAAGAAUGGAAAAGGGUGUCUGAACACAGACUUGAGACAUUUAGUGGGCAGGAGGUAGGUGAUACCUAAUCAAAGACUAGGAAGGAGCCAAUAGAUAGAGAGGAGGAGGAGGAGAUUCAGAAGUACAAUAGAAUUGAGAGGAGGAGAAAGUGUCCAGAAGGAGGUCUGAUUUUGGCAGAGGAGGUGAUCAAUAUAGUAAAAAGUUACAGAAAGGUCAUAUGUUAACAGUUUAUUCAGCUAUUUCCUAUCUAUUAGCAUAUGGGUCAUUUAGAAAAUUAUUUAUUUUUUAAAACCAUUAGCUUUCAUCUUAGAAUCAAUACUGUAUAUUGGUUACAAGACAGAAGAGCAGUAAGGGCUAGGCAAUGGAGGUUAAGGGACUUGUCCAAGGUCACACAACUAGAAAGUAUCUGAGACCAGAUUUGAACCCAGAACAUCCCAUCUCCCAGUCUGGCUCUCAAUCUACUGAGCCACCUAGCUCCCCCUUCAUAUGGGUCAUUUAAAAAAGGAGUUUCUGUUGUUAUUGGACAGGUGGGAUUAUUAGUUUUUUAUGGAAAUAUAAAAGCUUCUUUUGGCUCCUGUGUUACCCCUUGUUACUGAGUGCACUGGUUUCUUGGUGGGAAAUAUAACACAACUAGAAUCAAUGGUUCAUGGAAGGUCCUUGCAGGCCUCUGAUAAACAGAAAUCUCUUUGGAAUUCUUACAUUCUUUGGUUGUUUUUCUUGUGACUCUCAGGUAACCAGACAAGGUAAAAUGGCUGCAGGGCUUUUCAAUUCAGGUACUAACAUUUUGGAGCUACUAAUACACUGUUGGUGGAAUUUUGAAUUGGUCCAACCAUUCUAGAAAGCAAUUUAAAAUUAUGGUGAUGUAAAACCCAGAUCGAAUUGCUUAUCAGUUCUGGUAUGAGGGAGGAAAGAAAGGAGGGAGACAAUUUGGAUCAUAUAACUUCCAGAAACUUAUAUGGAAAUUUGUUAUUACAUGUGAUUGGUUUAAAAAAAAGAAUUAUGGUGAAAAAGUGACUAAAAUGUCUGUACCCUUUGACUCAGAGAGGAGGUCAAUGAUAAAAAGAAAGGUUUCAUGGACACCAAAGUAUUUUAUUCUUUUGAUGAGAGCAAAGAGUUAGAAAGAAAGUAUAUAGCCAUGGUUUGAUGAAUGACCUAACAAAUUAUAAUACAUUAAUAUUACACAAUGUUAUUGUGUCAUAAGAAAUGACAAAUAUGAGGAAUUCAGGGAAGCACAGAAAGACUUUCAAGAACUGACACAAAGUAAAUGGAACCAUGGAAACAGAAUAAUUGAUGACUACCACAAUAAACUAAAUUGUGGCUAAAACAAUUGGCCACUCUGUCGAUAUAAAAAUAGAGGCUAAGCUUGACCCAAGAGAAGUCAAGAACAUCCUUUCAUCAUAGAGGGGAAAUACUAUGAUUACAAAACAUUUCAUAUGCUGCCAGAAGAUUGAUGUCUUGAUUGGUUUUACUGAAUUGUCCCCUUUCUCAUUUUUUCAUUUAUAAGGGAUGGAUUUGGGGGAGAGGGGAGAGAUAUGUUUGGUAAUGAAGAUGAUACAGAAACAAAUAAUAACUGUAAAAAACUAAGAAAAGCAUAAAAAUCUUAGAGUUAGAAGGGACUAUAUAGAUAAUGAGUUCUCUCUAUCACUGUGGGUAUACCAAAUUGGGAUGCUGAAUUGUUUGAGAUGUCCUAGAGAAGAUUCCUUGUAGAAAUAGAUUAGACAAAAAUCAAAAGCAAUUAAGUGCCUCCUAUAUUCCAGGCCCUGUUCUAGGUACUGAGGAUACAAAGAUAAAAGUAAGACAGUUUUUGUCUUCAAAGAAUUUACAUUCUCAGGGUUCCCUUCCAGUUCUGAGAUUCUGAGUCUAUUGGUGAGUCUAGUUUCCUUCAUUUUACAGAUCAUAUGAUACAGAUAUGAUAGAGCUGGAAGGAACUUUAGAUGUUCUCUAAUCCAGGCCUCUCACUUUACAGCCAAAGGAACUGAGGACCAAAUAAGUAAAAAAAAAGUUAUUUAAUGGUAAAUAAAGUUUAUUGUAAUAUGCAAUGAUGCCCAGAUAAGGGGAUAGGCUGUGGAUAUGGAAGUGUGACUACCUGAGGCUUCCUGUCCCUGGGAAUUGAAUCAGAUAUUGGCCCUCAUGAGCCCCAGGAACCUGAGUCCCUUAGAGACAGAAUGACCAAGUUGGAAUUUAGGGAGAGAGGGUCAGGGAUUGGAGGGCAGAGAAGAUGACAGAGAAUCCUAUUUUCUUCUCUCUCCUCUCCUUCUAUAGGGGACUUUGCUCUCUAGACUACCUUCCCAGGAAGGGAGAACAGUUAGGAAAUCAGGGACAUAAGUGACAGGGCCAGCAGAACAAGGAACAAUCUCCAGAGACUUCUUAGAACCAUCAAGUCCUAAUGAGGAAUCACAGCACCCCUUCCCCUACCUCAGCUCCCAAGCUCACCCACUUACCAAAAGUAAUAUGGAUUAGUGACUGAGCCUAAAACAUAGAAUUAUAAAUAUAGAAGAGACUUUAGAGAGGAUAUAAAAAUAAUUUUUUUAUUUUAAUAACAAAUUUCCACAUACAUUUUUCAGUUAUACGAGUCAUGCUUUCUUCCCUCCCUUCUCCCCUCCCCACUCCUGGAGUAGACAAGCAAUUGUCUGGAUUACAUGUAUUAUCACAACUUAUUUUCUAGAAGAGGAAACUGAAGCAUCUGAUAGCACAGUGAACAGAGUGCUGGACCUGGAGUUAGGAAGCUCUGAGUUCAAAUGUGAUCUCAGAAACUUGCCAGCUGUGUGACUCUGAGUAGGCUAUUUAACUUUUGUUUGCCUCAGUUUCUUCAAUUGUAAAAUGAGGAUAAUAAAAGCACCCAACUCAUGUAGACUCUAAAUGAACAUUCCAGUGCAAACAUCAACAACAUGGCAAUGGGUUCUGAUCAAGGACACAUGUAAUUCCCAGUGGAAUUGCACAUCAGCUAUGGGAGGGAUGGGGGGGAGAGGAGGGAGGGAAAGAAUAUGAUUCUUGUAACCAAGGAAUAAUCUUUAAAUUGACUAAUUAAAUAACAUUUUCAAAAAAAUAAAUAAAUAAAAGCUCCCAACUCCCAGAGUUGUUGUGAGGACAGGAUGAAAUAAUAUUUGGAAAGCAUUUAGCACAGAAGCUGCCACAGUAACUAGAAAGUCCUUAAUAAUUAUUCCCUUUCCAGAGUCUCAUGGCCCAGUCCACUCACCACUAUGCUUUCCCAUCACAAUACAACAAUGCCUCUCACCCAGACACCAGAGGGUAGCCUUUGUUCCUCACCUAAAUCUAACUGGAUAUGUGGGCUAGGGGAGGGUAGAGACAUCCAAGUUAGCCUCAAUGAGCCUUGAGUGACAGCACCAUUUGCAUCUAUAGCAGACAGGCCAAGAAUCAGUCAUGCUGCAUGCUGGCUUACACAAGGGUAGCAUUACCUCCAUGGAAAACUUCCUGCAGAAGCUGAGAGGGAGGAGGCAACAGUUGGGGGGAAGGAGUGGUUGGCAGUGAUUUGGGAGACUCCAAACUAGUUAUUUGGAAGACAUGCCACCGUUCAAAUUCCCAGCAGCACCUCCUCCCACAGGUCCCGGCCUGGAGCUGGAACAGCCUUGCAGACCCUGUCCCCAGACUACCCACAAGAUCUGAUGUUUUAAUUCAUUCUAUCCCUGGCCCCGCUCCACCCCACUCCCCUUUUGCCGGAAGUCUUCCCCUCCCCAAUUUCCCUGCAUACCCUAAGUCCACUCCCAGGCACGCUACCCCUGUGGAAUCUUGUCUUGCUUAGAACCCAAUGAUUCCUGCCUCGACAUGUGAAGACGCAGGCGAGCCAGCCCCGGGCCUCCUGGGUGGCGUUUUGUGCUGGAGGAGGGGUGGGGUGGGGGGAGGGGGAAGAUUCUCAUUCCGGCCCCUGGCUAGGAGGGAAUAACUGAAGGUCUUCCGUUCAGAGAGGAUUCUCCCGCCUCUCCUUCCCUCAGCCCUGGCAAGCAUUCUUGACUAUCUUCCAGUCCUCAUCCAACAGACUCAGACCUCUUGACAGACACUCCCCAGUUGGACAGUUCUUCUUCGGUGUGGCCUCCUUGGCCACACCCUGCCGGGCGGGGGCGGGGGCGGGGGUGCUGAAAGGAAGUAACUAAUUAGCAAGAGGGGAGCACGAAAGACGAGGGACUUCCGACCACAAGCCAACGGUCAGGUACUGGAUCUACAGCUUUGGUUUGCCAGGAAAAACUAAGGAAGGCGAGGGGAAGGCUCCAUUAGAAAUGAUUUCUGGGCAGGGACUUUCGGACUGAACAACUCUUCUUUUGGACAUCAUGACCGUGGCUGGAGUGCAGAAGCUUAUCAAACGACGAGGCCCUUAUGACAUGAGCCCAGGCCUCCUGGACUACCUCACCAUGGACAUUUAUGCCUUCCCAGCUGGCCAUGCCAGU